GAUGAACGCUGACAGAAUGCUUAACACAUGCAAGUCAACUUGAAUUUGGGUUUUUAUCUUAGGUUUGGGUGGCGGACGGGUGAGUAACGCGUAAAGAACUUGCCUCACAGCUAGGGACAACAUUUGGAAACGAAUGCUAAUACCUAAUAUUAUGAUAAUAGGGCAUCCUAUAAUUAUGAAAGCUAUAAGCGCUGUGAGAGAGCUUUGCGUCCCAUUAGCUAGUUGGAGAGGUAACGGCUCACCAAGGUGAUGAUGGGUAGCCGGUCUGAGAGGGUGAUCGGCAAAAAGGGGAUGGAGACAGGGCCCGUACUCCACCGGGAGGAAGCAGUGGGGAAUAUGCGCCAAGGGACCGAGAGUCUGAUAGAGCAGUUCUGUGCGCAAGAUGAAGUUUUUCGGAAUGAACAGUUCUUUCAGUUGAGAAGAAACAAAUGACGGUACCAACAGAAGAAGCGACGGCUAACUACGUG
rnacentral:rRNA from 1 species